CUCCAUCUCUAUUCUCGUUCUUGACUCUGAACUUGCCCUCUCUCUCUCUCUCUGCGCAACUGCAAACUACAAAAUCUACAACAAUCAGAAGCUCUUUCUGCAACUGCUAACUUCUAAAAACAUGGUCGGAAUUAUUAAAUUCCUUCUGCACCAGUGGGAAGCUCGAGCUGGAACUCAUGUACAAAAUUCAGGUCCAAUUCUACGAGGAUGCUAAGCUAAUGAAGUUGUUCCCUGGAGUUGUGAGAUCGCUCUAUGACCAGGAUGUGCUUUCGGAAGAUACCAUUCUUCACUGGUUCCGUAAAGGAACUAAUACUAAGGGCAGGCAAACCUUUGUGAAGGCUUUGGAGCCCUUUGUAAAAUGGCUGGAGGAGGCAGAGGAAGAGGAAUAAGUGUGUGGGUGGUGAUACUGUUGUAAUGGACCAUUUUCUAAAUUUUUAAACGACCGUGUUCUAUUUUUUCGUGUGCUUAUGGCGAAUGUUUAAUGGUUUAUUACUUUCAAUAAUGUAGCCACUUUCUACUCUC